rnacentral:rRNA from 1 species
UACGUAGGGACCAAGCGUUGUUCGGAUUUACUGGGCGUAAAGAGCGUGUAGGCGGCCAGGUAGGUCGGUUGUGAAAACUGGAGGCUCAACCUUCAGACGUCGACCGAAACCCCCUGGCUAGAGUCCGGAAGAGGAGAGUGGAAUUCCUGGUGUAGCGGUGAAAUGCGCAGAUAUCAGGAGGACCACCGGUGGCGAAGGCGGUUCUCUUGGCAUGUCCCGACGCUUAGGAGCGAAAGUGUUGGGAGCGAACCGG